rnacentral:misc_RNA from 1 species
AACUAAAACAGUGCAUGUAGACUACAAAGAAGAAAAGUCGAACUUAUCAUAGGAAUUUGAAACUAUAUAGUUAUACUUAUAGCUAGGCGAUAACACAGAUAAAUCGGUCACAACAAAUACGUUUACAAGUGAACCGUAAACGAAAAGAAAGUUGGAAAUGCCUGUCAUUGAACCAGUCGCUUCUAAAUAUGAAGAAAUAUGUGUAGAACAAAGAUCGCUUAAAACUCCAUCAUCAGGACGGGGAGCAAAUCUACAGGUAAACAAUCAGAGUCCUUUUUCCAUGUUCACGCCACUUUUUUCUAAACUCAACAAACCAUCCUGGUGUCUGUUCAUCACGUCGCCU